GGUAGCACGGUUGGGGGCAGGAGGUGGGACACGCAGGACGAGAGGCCCACAGACGCCCAGGAAGCCUGCAUACCAGAUGCAGCAGGUGGAGGGCGGGCUGUAAAGGCCCUGUGUUGUGUCAGCGCAGCAGGACAGCCAUCAGCAAGCAAUGAGUGAAGACAGCAGAGGCAUUGCGGCAUCUGGGGACGUGUGGGCAGGCCUUUGCUAAAGAAGUGGCAUCUGUCACUUUCAGCUCUGAGGUGGCCUGACAACCAGUGGAAGGAGAGUGCACAGCACAGAGGAUAGACUUCCUGGCUGUUUCUGGUUCUUGAGGGGCAACAUUUCACUUGCCAGCAUGACCCUGAUCAUGGAGAUAAUUCUGCACAACAGGACGGCAAUGAACAAUCAUGCUGAUAAACAGAUGACUGACUAAUAAACGAACA
rnacentral:lncRNA from 12 species